UAGGGAAUCUUCGGCAAUGGACGAAAGUCUGACCGAGCAACGCCGCGUGAGUGAAGAAGGUUUUCGAAUCGUAAAACUCUGUUGUUAGAGAAGAACAAGGGUGAGAGUAACUGUUCACCCCUUGACGGUAUCUAACCAGAAAGCCACGGCUAACUACGAGCCAG
rnacentral:rRNA from 1 species